rnacentral:rRNA from 1 species
CCUACGGGUGGCAGCAGUGAGGAAUAUUGGUCAAUGGACGAGAGUCUGAACCAGCCAAGUAGCGUGAAGGAUGACUGCCCUAUGGGUUGUAAACUUCUUUUAUAUGGGAAUAAAAUGUUCCACGUGUGGGAUUUUGUAUGUACCAUAUGAAUAAGGAUCGGCUAACUCCGUGCCAGCAGCCGCGGUAAUACGGAGGAUCCGAGCGUUAUCCGGAUUUAUUGGGUUUAAAGGGAGCGUAGGUGGAUUGUUAAGUCAGUUGUGAAAGUUUGCGGCUCAACCGUAAAAUUGCAGUUGAAACUGGCAGUCGUGAGUACAGUAGAGGUGGGCGGAAUUCGUGGUGUAGCUGUGAAAUGCUUAGAUAUCACGAAGAACGCCGAUUGCGAAGGCAGCUCACUGGACUGCAACUGACACUGAGGCUCGAAAGUGUGGGUAUCAAACAGGAUUAGAUACCCGAGUAGUC